ncrna:unclassified sequences RT-2 RNA
AUAGGCUCGACAAAGUAACCCCGCGCGGGCGAAAUCAAUGCCUUUGCAAAAGGGGCGCAUGACCUUUCCGUAAGGAUAAAUAAAUACCCCGAUGUAGUCGAUCGGACGCUUCUUGCAUUGCCGCUUAUCGUGGUACAGCGGUUUAAUGGUCGGUACUACGGGCAAUCGGAACUCCACGACGAUAAACAGGUUGUACGGGGUAAUACGUCAAAUGAACAGCAAA